CAAAUAGACCUCAGUGAGGAGCUAGGGCUACCAUACCACGGUAUCAUCAUACAGUACAUGCGUACGGUUCAACAAUGGUUAUUUUGGAUGGACCAUUAGUUAGUUACUUAUUAGGAGGGCAGCCCAACUCUCCAGCUAGUAUACAGAUUCCAUAUCAUUAAAUAUUCUAACAUGCAAAUAUUUUUUUUAAUGAUGCGAAGAAGGAGAAUUAAGAGAAGAGAGAGAGGAGAGGUGAAAACAGAUGGAUCAUGCAUGG
rnacentral:lncRNA from 1 species